AUUGAACGCUGGCGGCAGGCCUAACACAUGCAAGUCGAACGAGUGGCGGACGGGUGAGUAAUGUCUGGGAAACUGCCCGAUGGAGGGGGAUAACUACUGGAAACGGUAGCGAAUACCGCGUACCAUCGGAUGUGCCCAGAUGGGAGUAGCUUGUAGGUGAGGUAACGGCUCACCUAGGCGACGAGCCCUAGCUGGUCUGAGAGGAUGACCAGGUAGAGUGGAACUGAGACAAGGUCCAGAAUCGGACGGGAGGCAGCAGUGGGGAAUAUUACACAAGGGGCGCAAGCGUAAUGCAGCCAGGGCGGGUGGAUGAAGAAGGCCUUCGGGUUGUAAAGUACUUGCAGCGGGGAGGCGUGACCCGCAGAAGAAGCACCGGAUAACUCCGUGCAAGCAGCCGCGGUAAUUC
rnacentral:rRNA from 1 species